GGUUUGAUCAUGGCUCAGAUUGAACGCUGGCGGGAUGCUUUACACAUGCAAGUCGAACGGCAGCACGGACUUCGGUCUGGUGGCGAGUCGCGAACGGGUGAGUAAUGUAUCGGAACGUGCCUAGUAGCGGGGGAUAACUACGCGAAAGCGCCGCUGUCUCCACAUACGCCCUUCGGGGGAAGCGGGGGACCUUCGGGCCUCGCACUAUUAGAGCGGCCGAUAUCGGAUUAGCUAGUUGGUGGGGUAACGGCUCACCAAGGCGACGAUCCGUAGCUGGUUUGAGAGGACGACCAGCCACACUGGGACUGAGACACGGCCCAGACUCCUACGGGAGGCAGCAGUGGGGAAUUUUGGACAAUGGGGGAAACCCUGAUCCAGCCAUCCACGCGUGUGCGAUGAAGGCCUUCGGGUUGUAAAGCACUUUUUGGCAGGAAAGAAACGGCACGGGAUAAUACCCGUGCAACUGACGGUACCUGCAGAAUAAGCACCGGCUAACUACGUGCCAGCAGCCGCGGUAAUACGUAGGGUGCAAGCGUUAAUCGGAAUUACUGGGCGCCAAAGCGUGCGCAGGCGGUUCCGGAAAGAAAGAUGUGAAAUCCCAGAGCUUAACUUUGGAACUGCAUUUUUAACUACCGAGCUAGAGUGUGUCAGAGAGGGAGGUGGAAUUCCGCGUGUAGCAGUGAAAUGCGUAGAUAUGCGGAGGAACACCGAUGGCGAAGGCAGCCUCCUGGGAUAACGCGGCGCUCAUGCACGAAAGCGUGGGGAGCAAACAGGAUUAGAUACCCUGGUAGUCCACGCCCUAAACGAUGUCAACUAGCUGUUGGGGCCUUCGGGCCUUGAAGCUGGCGCAACUAACGCGUGAAGUUGACCGCCUGGAAUACGGUCGCAAGACCAAAACUCAAAGGAAUUGACGGGGACCCGCACAAGCGGUGGAUGAUGUGGAUUAAUUCGAUGCAACGCGAAAAACCUUACCUACCCUUGACAUGUCUGGAAUCCCGAAGAGAUUUGGGAGUGCUCGCAAGAGAACCGGAACACAGGUGCUGCAUGGCUGUCGUCAGCUCGUGUCGUGAGAUGUUGGGUCAAGUCCCGCAACGAGCGCAACCCUUGUCAUUAGUUGCUACGAAAGGGCACUCUAAUGAGACUGCCGGUGACAAACCGGAGGAAGGUGGGGAUGACGUCAAGUCCUCGCAUGGCCCUUAUGGGUAGGGCUUCACACGUCAUACAAUGGUCGGGACAGAGGGUCGCCAACCCGCGAGGAGCCAAUCCCAGAAACCCGAUCGUAGUCCGGAUCGCAGUCUGCAACUCGACUGCGUGAAGUCGGAAUCGCUAGUAAUCGCGGAUCAGCAUGUCGCGGUGAAUACGUUCCCGGGUCUUGUACACACCGCCCGUCACACCAUGGGAGUGGGUUUUACCAGAAGUAGUUAGCCUAACCGUAAGGAGGGCGAUUACCACGGUAGGAUUCAUGACUGGGGUGAAGUCGUAACAAGGUAA
rnacentral:rRNA from 1 species